UACGAGGGGGGCAAGCGUUGUUCGGAAUUAUUGGGCGUAAAGGGCGCGUAGGCGGUGCGGUAAGUCACCUGUGAAAACUCUGGGCUCAACUCAGAGCCUGCAGGCGAAACUGCCGUGCUUGAGUGUGGGAGAGGUGCGUGGAAUUCCCGGUGUAGCGGUGAAAUGCGUAGAUAUCGGGAGGAGCACCUGUGGCGAAAGCGGCGCACUGGACCACAACUGACGCUGAGGCGCGAAAGCUAGGGGAGCAAACAGG
rnacentral:rRNA from 1 species